rnacentral:rRNA from 1 species
UGGGGAAUAUUGCGCAAUGGGCGAAAGCCUGACGCAGCAACGCCGCGUGGGUGAUGACGGUCUUCGGAUUGUAAAACCCUGUCUUCAGGGACGAUAAUGACGGUACCUGAGGAGGAAGCCACGGCUAACUACGUGCCAGCAGCCGCGGUAAUACGUAGGUGGCAAGCGUUGUCCGGAUUUACUGGGCGUAAAGGGUGCGUAGGCGGACAAUUAAGUCAGAUGUGAAAUCCCAGGGCUCAACCUUGGGGCUGCAUUUGAUACUGGUUGUCUAGAGUGCAGGAGAGGAGAGCGGAAUUCCUAGUGUAGCGGUGAAAUGCGUAGAUAUUAGGAAGAACACCAGUGGCGAAGGCGGCUCUCUGGACUGUAACUGACGCUGAGGCACGAAAGCGUGGGGAGCGAACAGGAUUAGAUACCCCCGUAGUCC